AACGCACCUUGCGCCCCUUGGCAUUCCGAGGGGCACACCCGUUUGAGUGUCGUGAAAUUCUCAAAAACCUUUCUUUUUGAAAGGGUUUUGGACUUGGAGGCUCUUUGCUGGCUUUUGCCGGCUCCUCUCAAAUGAAUUAGUGGGGUCCGCUUUGUCGAUCCUUGACGUGAUAAGAUGUUUCUACGUCUCGGGUUUGGCGAUGCCUCUUGGGCACCUGCUUCCAACCGUCUCAUGGACAAUGAUGGUGUUCCGGUCACUGCCGUUUCAUCGGUCGGGAGGCUUGACCCACCAACAAAACCUUUGACCUCAAAUCGGGUGAGACUACCCGCUGAACUUAA
rnacentral:misc_RNA from 1 species